GAAAAGUUAGUUAAUAAAUAACAUAAAAUUGUCAAUUUUAAAUUACUAUAAUGUUAGUACUCUUCU
rnacentral:tRNA from 1 species